GAUGAACGCUGGCGGCGUGCCUAAGACAUGCAAGUCGAGUGGGUUUAGACCCACGGCGAACGGGUGAGUAAUACCUAGGAACUUUCUUUAAGUGGAGGAUAACCAGCCGAAAGGUUGGAUAAUACUUCAUGUGGCAGUAAUGCUAAAGUCGCAAGACGCUUAAAGUGAGGCCUGGGCACCAUCAGCUAGUUGGUAAGGUAAUGGCUUACCAAGGCUAUGACGGUUAGGGUCCCGAGAGGGAUAACCCCCACACUGGAACUGCGACACGGUCCAGACUCCUACGGGAGGCAGCAGUUUGGAAUUUUGGACAAUGGGCGAAAGCCUGAUCCAGCGACGCCGCGUGGACGAUGAAGGCCUUCGGGUUGUAAAGCUCUUUUGGCGGGGACGAUGAUGACGGUACCCGCAGAAUAAGCCCCGGCUAACUUCGUGCCAGCAGCCGCGGUAAU
rnacentral:rRNA from 1 species